GUCUCAGUUCGGAUUGGAGUCUGCAACCCGACUCCAUGGAGCUGGAUUCGCUAGUAAUCGCGCAUCAGCCCCGGCGCGGUGAAUACGUUCCCGGGCCUUGUACACACCGCCCGUCAAGCCAUGGAAGCCGGGAGUGCCUGAAGUGCGUGAGCGCAAGCAGCGCCCUAAGGUAAAACCGGUGACUGGGGCUAAGUCGUAACAAGGUAUC
rnacentral:rRNA from 1 species